rnacentral:rRNA from 1 species
GACGAACGCUGGCGGCGUGCCUAAUACAUGCAAGUCGAACGCAGUGGGGACGGGUGAGUAACACGUGGUUAACCUCCCAUCAGAGGUGAUAACACUUUGACACAGGUGCUAAACCGCUACUGCUGGAUGACACCUCUGUGCAUUAGCUAGGUGGGGAGGUAACGGCUCACCAAGGCCACGAUGCAUCGCCGACCUGAGAGGGUGAUAGGCCACACUGGGACUGAGACACGGCCCAGACUCCUACGGGAGGCAGCAGUAGGGAAUCUUCGGCAAUGGACGAAAGUCUGACCGAGAAACGCCGCGUGAGUGAAGAAGGUGUUCGGAUCGGAAAACUCUGUUGUUAGAGAAGCGGUAUCUAACCAGAAAGCCACGGCUAACUACGUGCCAGCAGCCGCGGUAAUAC